UCUCUGUUAGUAUAUCGGUUAGUACACGCGCCUGUCACACCUGCUGACCGCGCGAAAGCGGGGUUCGACUCCCCGACAGAGAG
rnacentral:tRNA from 1 species